AGUUUGAUCAUGGCUCAGAUUGAACGCUGGCGGCAGGCUUAACACAUGCAAGUCGAGCGGAGAUGAGGUGCUUGCACCUUAUCUUAGCGGCGGACGGGUGAGUAAUGCUUAGGAAUCUGCCUAUUAGUGGGGGACAACAUUCCGAAAGGAAUGCUAAUACCGCAUACGUCCUACGGGAGAAAGCAGGGGAUCUUCGGACCUUGCGCUAAUAGAUGAGCCUAAGUCGGAUUAGCUAGUUGGUGGGGUAAAGGCCUACCAAGGCGACGAUCUGUAGCGGGUCUGAGAGGAUGAUCCGCCACACUGGGACUGAGACACGGCCCAGACUCCUACGGGAGGCAGCAGUGGGGAAUAUUGGACAAUGGGGGGAACCCUGAUCCAGCCAUGCCGCGUGUGUGAAGAAGGCCUUAUGGUUGUAAAGCACUUUAAGCGAGGAGGAGGCUACUGAGACUAAUACUCUUGGAUAGUGGACGUUACUCGCAGAAUAAGCACCGGCUAACUCUGUGCCAGCAGCCGCGGUAAUACAGAGGGUGCGAGCGUUAAUCGGAUUUACUGGGCGUAAAGCGUGCGUAGGCGGCUUUUUAAGUCGGAUGUGAAAUCCCCGAGCUUAACUUGGGAAUUGCAUUCGAUACUGGGAAGCUAGAGUAUGGGAGAGGAUGGUAGAAUUCCAGGUGUAGCGGUGAAAUGCGUAGAGAUCUGGAGGAAUACCGAUGGCGAAGGCAGCCAUCUGGCCUAAUACUGACGCUGAGGUACGAAAGCAUGGGGAGCAAACAGGAUUAGAUACCCCGGUAGU
rnacentral:rRNA from 1 species